UACGUAGGGUCCAAGCGUUAGUCCGGAAUCACUGGGCGUAAAGAGUGGCGUAAGGUGGAUAGUUAAGUGCGAUGCGAAAUUCUGUGGACUCAACCAUAUGGAACUGUAUCGCAUACUGGCUGUCUUGAGGACAUGAGAGGCAAGUGGAAUUACUGGUGUAGCAGUGAAAUGCGUAGAUAUCAGUAGGAACACCAAUGGCGAAAGGCAGCUUGCUGGCAUGUAUCUGACGCUAAGGCACGAAAGCGUGGGGAGCGAACAGG
rnacentral:rRNA from 1 species